UUUUGGUUUGUUCUUAUUUUUCUUAUUUCACAUUUAUGUUUUUAAAGUUAUUCCUUCUUUAUUUUUUUAAUCACAGCAAUCCUCCCCUCAUCCAUGGUUUCAUUUUCUAUGGUUCCAGUUACUCAUGGUCAACCAUGGUCAGAAAACAGGACAAACUGAGAGUAAAAGAUGCAGGAAUAAAACACAGAAAUCAAAAUAAAGGGUUUACUGCUGAAAAAUCCGCUUGAACAAGCCUGUUAAUGUGAUCUUCCUGAAUGAAGCCAGCUUACCCCUAGGCCUCCACUGUCCCUCAGGAAAGAGAACACGAAAACUGGAACUCUCUGCAGAAAGGAGGAUCCCAAAGAAGGGGCCAAGCUGUACAUUUAUCAAUCAGGAAAGCCACUCCACCCUCCAUGGCAGCCCCUACAAUUUGAAACAAGUAAAUAAUCAUGUUAUUCAAGGAUAAUGAAUGCAGCCACCAUGUAAUCAUCACUGACUCCAUGGCCAUGAGAAAAGAGACCUAAGAAAUGAUGCCCAUCCAGAAGAGUGAAGACUUCCUGAAAAUGUUCUUUUAACCUAAGAUGUAGGUUAAGAGGAGUGAAAAAAUGUUCUGUUUCUGACUGAUGAUGGAGCAACAAAGGUAUGUUUCUUAUUAAUAACACUGAGCAGUUAGGAAGCAGAUGUGCCUCUCCAGGGAAACUCACAAGUGUCCACUGACCUAGUAUCUGCGGAGAACCAUAGCAGUUGUGGUCUCUCUCCCCAGCUUCAAGCAAGGGCAACUUUUCCCUGUGUCUGGUUCUUUUGCUGUCACCUGAAGCCACAGAAAAUGAUCUGAACCUGCUCAGUCCCUGGACAUAUCUGGGGAAUACAAAGUCUCAGAGUCGCUCUCUAAGAAUUGCCAGCAUGUUCUAGAGAUUCUUUAGAUGCAUAGCUGCAUGGAGCAAAACAGGGUCAGGGGAUGUGUGCCGAGGCCAAGGUCUUCUCUUAUGUUUCAAAAAUAUUAACAUUUCAGGCCUGUCUUCUUUUAAAGGAUAGCUCAUGUAUAUGAUUUUUUAAAAAAAAAUCUACCAAAUCAAAUAAAGAAGUCCUGGGAGUUCACCCGGUGUUUUCUACAGAACCAAGGUAUUCAUAUUGAGAUCCUUCAAUAUAAUCAGCUAUGUGACCUUGGUUAAGUUAAUUAAUGCCUCUGAAACUGAGGUUCCUCAUCUGUGAAAUGGAGAUAUUCAACAAAGCACCCUGUGGGGAUUAGAUGAGAUUGCACAUCUGACUGCCUAGAGUAUAGUAAGGGGUCACUGUUUCCUCUUCACUCCUCAGGAAAAUUUGAUUGAACAAGGAUAGAAACUUUGAUUCUAGGGACAGAAGGUCUUCAGAAGUCUUUGAGGCCAGAGGGCCUGUCAUAGAACUGCAGUGUAGGUUCAUUAAAACGCUGUCAUCCUAAUGUUUAUCCACAGUAUCUAAUAGAUUUAAAAGGAAGACAAUAUGGCACAGACUAUUUCGGAAACCUAUGCCCAUUCUGCCAAGAGGAUAUCGCUAUUGGUGGUCAGACUAUUUCACUUAUAAGGUUUCUUUUUUCCUUAAGUCAUAAAGAUUAACAUUUACUAAAAAUUUGAGGGUCCAUUAAUGGACUCCCACAUGGCUUUCCUCUUUCCUUUGAGCUGGAUUCAUUUUCACUGAGUCCCGAGUCCUGCACAUCUGACAAUUGCUUCAGACCUUGGACAUGCUUGAAUUAUUUUAUGCAAAUCAUUUGAAAAGGCAAAGUACCACUGUUCUUUCUUGAGUUUCUUCGUAAACUGGUUUCUAAUUUAUCUGCUGCUUUUUCUCGAUCCAAUUUGUGCCUAUGUCUUACUAUAGAUUCUUUGGAAAUAAAGAAAUAAAGAAUAUAUCUGUAGCUAUUUUGUUAAACUAAGAAUGUUUUAAAAUAUUUUAUUGUAAAA
rnacentral:lncRNA from 1 species